rnacentral:rRNA from 1 species
GUAGGGAAUAUUGCACAAUGGGGGAAACCCUGAUGCAGCGACGCCGCGUGAGUGAUGAAGGCCUUCGGGUCGUAAAGCUCUGUCGUAUGGGACUAACACAAUGAAGGUACCAUGCAAGAAAGGAUCGGCUAACUUCGUGCCAGCAGCCGCGGUAAGACGAGGGAUCCUAGCGUUGUUCGGAAUCAUUGGGCGUAAAGCGGGUGUAGGCGGAUUUAUAAGUCAGGUGUGAAAUCCCAGGACUCAACCCUGGAAGUGCACUUGAUACUGUAAAUCGUGAGUGUGGUAGAGGUUACUGGAAUUGUUGGUGUAGUGGUGAAAUACGUAGAUAUCAACAGGAAUACCGGAGGCGAAGGCGAGUAACUGGGCCAACACUGACGCUGAGACCCGAAAGCGUGGGGAUCAAACAGGAUUAGAAACCCGAGUAGUCC